rnacentral:rRNA from 1 species
AUUGAACGCUGGCGGCAGGCCUAACACAUGCAAGUCGAACGAGUGGCGGACGGGUGAGUAAUGUCUGGGAAACUGCCCGAUGGAGGGGGAUAACUACUGGAAACGGUAGCUAAUACCGCAUACCAUCGGAUGUGCCCAGAUGGGAUUAGCCAGUAGGUGGGGUAACGGCUAACCACGGCAACGAUCCCUAGCUGGUCUGAGAGGGUGACCGGCCACACUGGAACGGAGACACGGUCCAGACUCCUACGGGAGGCAGCAGUAGGGAAUAUUGCCCAAGGGGCGCAAGCCUGAUGCAGCAAUGCCGCGUGUGUGAUGAAGGCCUUCGGGUUGUAAAGUACUUUCAGCGGGGAGGCGUUACUCGCAGAGGAAGCACCGGCUAACUCCGUGCCAGCAGCCGCGGUAAUUC